rnacentral:snRNA from 1 species
GGAUGUGAGGACAAUCUGACUGGGACCUUUGUCACCCUAUUGAUUGCUAGGAUUGAUCCGGCUGAUCUGGCUGACUAGGCAGGUGUCUUCUUCCUCUCUCACCACCUUACCUGCGUCCUUCUAAAGCUGUGUGCUGGGUGGAAAAGGAUGGCCAUCACCAAUAGAGGAGGACCGUUCUUUGGUCAAGGGUAUAGAAGUAAUUGCACUCCCCUGCUAGAACCUCUAAGCAACUCUCAACUGACUCUGUUUAUUAAUUUCUACUUACGCAUUUAAUACUUGCAGAGUGUUAAACGACACUCAUCUUGGCA